rnacentral:rRNA from 1 species
GACGAACGCUGGCGGCGUGCCUAAUACAUGCAAGUCGAGCGAAGUUUUUCUGGUGCUUGCACUAGAAAAACUUAGCGGAGAACGGGUGAGUAACACGUAAAGAACCUGCCUCAUAGACUGGGACCACUAUUGGAAACGAUAUCUAAUACCGUAUAACAGUAUUUCUCGCAUGAGAGAUAUUUAAAAGUUGGUUAUGCUAACACUAUGAGAUGGCUUUGCGGUGCAUUAGCUAGUUGGUGGGGUAAAGGCCCACCAAGGCGACGAUGCAUAGCCGCCCUGAGAGGGUGACCGGCCAAACUGGGACUGAGACACGGCCCAGACUCCUACGGGAGGCAGCAGUAGGGAAUCUUCCGCAAUGGGCGAAAGCCUGACGGAGCAACGCCGCGUGAGUGAAGAAGGAUUUCGGUUCGUAAAGCUCUGUUGUUAGGGAAGAAUGGAGAUGUAGUAACUAUACAUGUAAGAGACGGUACCUAACCAGAAAGCCACGGCUAACUACGUG